GAAUUCGCCCUUGGAUGGACUCGCGGCCUAUCAGCUAGUUGGUGAGGUAACGGCUCACCAAGGCGUUGACGGGUAGCCGGCCUGAGAGGGUGACCGGCCACACUGGGACCGAGACACGGCCCAGACUCCUACGGGAGGCAGCAGUGGGGAAUUUUGCACAAUGGGCGCAAGCCUGAUGCAGCAACGCCGCGUGGGGGACGAAGGCCUUCGGGUUGUAAACCUCUUUUAGUAGGGAAGAAGCGAAAGUGACGGUACCUGCAGAAAAAGCACCGGCUAACUACGUGCCAGCAGCCGCGGUAAUACGUAGGGUGCGAGCGUUGCCCGGAAUUAUUGGGCGUAAAGAGCUCGUAGGCGGUUUGUCACGUCUGCUGUGAAAACCCGAGGCUCAACCUCGGGCCUGCAGUGGGUACGGGCAGACUAGAGUGCGGUAGGGGAGAACGGAAUUCCUGGUGUAGCGGUGGAAUGCGCAGAUAUCAGGAGGAACACCGAUGGCGAAGGCAGUUCUCUGGGCCGUAACUGACGCUGAGGAGCGAAAGCGUGGGGAGCGAACAGGAUUAGAUACCCUGGUAGUCCACGCCGUAAACGUUGGGCGCUAGAUGUGGGGACCAUUCCACGGUUUCCGCGUCGUAGCUAACGCAUUAAGCGCCCCGCCUGGGGAGUACGGCCGCAAGGCUAAAACUCAAAGGAAUUGACGGGGGCCCGCACAAGCGGCGGAGCAUGCGGAUUAAUUCGAUGCAACGCGAAGAACCUUACCAAGGCUUGUCAUAUGCGAGAACGCUCUAGAAAUAGAGAACUCUUUGGACACUCGUAUACAGGUGGUGCAUGGUUGUCGUCAGCUCGUGUCGUGAGAUGUUGGGUUAAGUCCCGCAACGAGCGCAACCCUCGUCGCAUGUUGCCAGCACGUAAUGGUGGGAACUCAUGUGAGACUGCCGGGGUCAACUCGGAGGAAGGUGGGGAUGACGUCAAAUCAUCAUGCCCCUUAUGUCUUGGGCUUCACGCAUGCUACAAUGGCCGGUACAAAGGGCUGCGAAACCGCAAGGUGGAGCGAAUCCCAAAAAGCCGGUCUCAGUUCGGAUUGAGGUCUGCAACUCGACCUCAUGAAGUCGGAGUCGCUAGUAAUCGCAGAUCAGCAACGCUGCGGUGAAUA
rnacentral:rRNA from 1 species